rnacentral:rRNA from 1 species
GGUUAAGCGACUAAGCGUACACGGUGGAUGCCCUGGCAGUCAGAGGCGAUGAAGGGCGUGCUAAUCUGCGAUAAGCGCCGGUAAGGUGAUAUGAACCGUUAUAACCGGCGAUACCCGAAUGGGGAAACCCAGUGUGACUCGUCACACUAUCAUUAACUGAAUCCAUAGGUUAAUGAGGCGAACCGGGGGAACUGAAACAUCUAAGUACCCCGAGGAAAAGAAAUCAACCGAGAUUCCCCCAGUAGCGGCGAGCGAACGGGGAGGAGCCCAGAGCCUGAAUCAGCAUGUGUGUUAGUGGAAGCGUCUGGAAAGGCGCGCGAUACAGGGUGACAGCCCCGUACACAAAAGCGCAUGUGCUGUGAGCUCGAUGAGUAGGGCGGGACACGUGGUAUCCUGUCUGAAUAUGGGGGGACCAUCCUCCAAGGCUAAAUACUCCUGACUGACCGAUAGUGAACCAGUACCGUGAGGGAAAGGCGAAAAGAACCCCGGCGAGGGGAGUGAAAAAGAACCUGAAACCGUGUACGUACAAGCAGUGGGAGCACAGGUUUACCUGUGUGACUGCGUACCUUUUGUAUAAUGGGUCAGCGACUUAUAUUCUGUAGCAAGGUUAACCGAAUAGGGGAGCCGGAGGGAAACCGAGUCUUAAUUGGGCGUUAAGUUGCAGGGUAUAGACCCGAAACCCGGUGAUCUAGCCAUGGGCAGGUUGAAGGUUGGGUAACACUAACUGGAGGACCGAACCGACUAAUGUUGAAAAAUUAGCGGAUGACCUGUGGCUGGGGGUGAAAGGCCAAUCAAACCGGGAGAUAGCUGGUUCUCCCCGAAAGCUAUUUAGGUAGCGCCUCGUGAAUUCAUCUCCGGGGGUAGAGCACUGUUUCGGCUAGGGGGCCAUCCCGGCUUACCAACCCGAUGCAAACUGCGAAUACCGGAGAAUGUUAUCACGGGAGACACACGGCGGGUGCUAACGUCCGUCGUGAAGAGGGAAACAACCCAGACCGCCAGCUAAGGUCCCAAAGUCAUGGUUAA